AUUGAACGCUGGCGGCAGGCCUAACACAUGCAAGUCGAGCGGAUGAAGGGAGCUUGCUCCUGGAUUCAGCGGCGGACGGGUGAGUAAUGCCUAGGAAUCUGCCUGGUAGUGGGGGAUAACGUCCGGAAACGGGCGCUAAUACCGCAUACGUCCUGAGGGAGAAAGUGGGGGAUCUUCGGACCUCACGCUAUCAGAUGAGCCUAGGUCGGAUUAGCUAGUUGGUGGGGUAAAGGCCUACCAAGGCGACGAUCCGUAACUGGUCUGAGAGGAUGAUCAGUCAACACGGGAAGAGAGACAGGGCCCAGACUCCUGGGGGAGGCAGCAGGGGGGAAUAUGGGAGAAGGGGCGAAAGUUUGACCCACCCAUCCGGCGUGUGGAAAGAAGUUAUGGGGAUUGUAAAGCUUUUUAAGUGGGGAGGAAGGGCAGUAAGUUAAUACCUUGUUUUUUGGACGUUACAAAAAGAAAAAGCCCGGGCAAACUUCGUC
rnacentral:rRNA from 1 species